rnacentral:rRNA from 1 species
CACGUAGGGGGCGAGCGUUGUCCGGAAUCAUUGGGCGUAAAGAGCGUGUAGGCGGCCCGGUAAGUCCGCUGUGAAAGUCGGGGGCUCAACCCUCGGAUGCCGGUGGAUACUGCCGGACUAGAGUUCGGAAGAGGCGAGUGGAAUUCCCGGUGUAGCGGUGAAAUGCGCAGAUAUCGGGAGGAACACCUAUGGCGAAGGCAGCUCGCUGGGACGUUACUGACGCUGAGACGCGAAAGCGUGGGGAGCAAACAGG